GUACCGUCCAAACGUUAUUCGGAAUUACUGGGCUUAAAGGGUACGUAGGCGGCGCUGUCAGUCGGGUGUGAAAUCCCUCGGCUCAACCGAGGAACUGCGCCCGAUACUGCAGUGCUUGAGGGAGACAGAGGUAAGCGGAACUGAUGGUGGAGCGGUGAAAUGCGUUGAUAUCAUCAGGAACACCAGUGGCGAAAGCGGCUUACUGGGUCUCUUCUGACGCUGAGGUACGAAAGCUAGGGGAGCGAAGGGGAUUAGAUACCCCCGUAGUCCUAGCUGUAAACGUUGAGCACUUGAUCGAGGGCCCCCCCAUAGGCUCUCGGUCGUAGCGAAAGUGUUAAGUGCUCCGCCUGGGGAGUAUGGUCGCAAGGCUG
rnacentral:rRNA from 1 species